rnacentral:rRNA from 1 species
ACUCAAAGGAAUUGACGGGGGCCCGCACAAGCGGCGGAGCAUGUUGCUUAAUUCGAUGCAACGCGAAGAACCUUACCUAGGCUUGACAUAUACCGAAAACUCAUGGAGAUAUGGGGUCCGCAAGGGCGGUAUACAGGUGGUGCAUGGUUGUCGUCAGCUCGUGUCGUGAGAUGUUGGGUUAAGUCCCGCAACGAGCGCAACCCUCGUCCUAUGUUGCCAGCGCGUUAUGGCGGGGACUCAUAGGAGACUGCCGGGGUCAACUCGGAGGAAGGUGGGGAUGACGUCAAAUCAUCAUGCCCCUUAUGUCUAGGGCUGCAAACAUGCUACAAUGGUCGGUACAAAGGGCUGCGAUACCGCAAGGUGGAGCGAAUCCCAAAAAGCCGGCCUCAGUUCGGAUUGGGGUCUGCAACUCGACCCCAUGAAGUCGGAGUCGCUAGUAAUCGCAGAUCAGCAACGCUGCGGUGAAUACGUUCCCGGGCCUUGUACACACCGCCCGU